CCUACGGGGGGCUGCAGUGGGGAAUAUUGGACAAUGGGCGAAAGCCUGAUCCAGCCAUGCCGCGUGUGUGAAGAAGGUCUUCGGAUUGUAAAGCACUUUAAGUUGGGAGGAAGGGCCGUUACCUAAUACGUGAUGGUUUUGACGUUACCGACAGAAUAAGCACCGGCUAACUCUGUGCCAGCAGCCGCGGUAAUACAGAGGGUGCAAGCGUUAAUCGGAAUUACUGGGCGUAAAGCGCGCGUAGGUGGUUUGUUAAGUUGGAUGUGAAAUCCCCGGGCUCAACCUGGGAACUGCAUUCAAAACUGACUGACUAGAGUAUGGUAGAGGGUGGUGGAAUUUCCUGUGUAGCGGUGAAAUGCGUAGAUAUAGGAAGGAACACCAGUGGCGAAGGCGACCACCUGGACUGAUACUGACACUGAGGUGCGAAAGCGUGGGGAGCAAACAGGAUUAGAUACCCCGGUAGUC
rnacentral:rRNA from 1 species